CGGCCACGGACGACCCUACUCUGAACUUCUUCUGGACUUCAUCAAUAUUCGAGCUUCUCCGACAAUGAGAUUUCUACAGUAAUCAGACUCCAUUCAAGUUUCUACGAUGAUCGACCACCUUUUGGAUUCCACCCGAGCUCCUGCGAGAGCCGAACUUCUACCCAAGCAGUCCACUCUGAACUCCUACUGCAGGCGGUCUAC
rnacentral:lncRNA from 1 species